rnacentral:rRNA from 1 species
AUUGAACGCUGGCGGCAUGCCUUACGCAUGCAAGUCGAACGGCAGCACGGGUGCUUGCACCUGGUGGCGAGUGGCGAACGGGUGAGUAAUACAUCGGAACAUGUCCUGUAGUGGGGGAUAGCCCGGCGAAAGCCGGAUUAAUACCGCAUACGAUCCACGGAUGAAAGCGGGGGACCUUCGGGCCUCGCGCUAUAGGGUUGGCCGAUGGCUGAUUAGCUAGUUGGUGGGGUAAGGGCCUACCAAGGCGACGAUCAGUAGCUGGUCUGAGAGGACGACCAGCCACACUGGGACUGAGACACGGCCCAGACUCCUACGGGAGGCAGCAGUGGGGAAUUUUGGACAAUGGGCGAAAGCCUGAUCCAGCAAUGCCGCGUGUGUGAAGAAGGCCUUCGGGUUGUAAAGCACUUUUGUCCGGAAAGAAAUCCUUGACUCUAAUACAGUCGGGGGAUGACGGUACCGGAAGAAUAAGCACCGGCUAACUACGUG